AGAACCCCCUUCCCUUACGCAGCCCCGAGCAGCGCCCGGCGCAGGCUGGCAAACUGCUUUUCUGUCCAGAGAUCAACCAGGGGGGCUGAUACUUUUUAUUUUGUUACUUGCACCAUGGGAGAACUUGUAUCAUCGAAAGGGCGUGGACCCAGGGAGACUCUACAGAUGUGAACACAGCCCAUUGGAUCAAACAUGUUGAUCCAGGUACCUCUGGACAAGAUCGAGCACACAUGACAAAUGCUUCUGACUUCUUUUUAAAUCGAACCUGGAAGGCCAUCGCUGAACAAACAGAAUGCUAUACAACCGUGGCCAUAAAUUGUGAAAGCUAACAAUAAGUGCAAGAUUACUCCCUUGGGAAAGCAGAUACCUGUGUUCUGAGACAUGAAUCUACACUAUAAUCUCGCAGCGUAAACAGGAUAUGAGCAGUUUCAUUAUGUACUUCUCAGAUGCAUCUUUAACCAGGAUAAACUACUCUCACAGAGGUUGAAAGGUAAUCUGAGACUUCGCAGUACAAUUGUAUUUCUCUUCCUCUAAGCCAAGACUUCCUAGAAAUAAGGAAUUUGUGCAACUGUGUAAAUGUGAGUGCUGCCCAUUAACCAGCUGGGGACUAUUGAACCUACUCAUUUUAAACCUCAAAAUUCUCAUAGAUUGUGUACUACUCUCACCAGUCUCCUGUUUUUACAUGGUUUAUUUACUGCGAGUCCUACACUUAAUUGGCUAUUGACAAUGUUUACUUUUUUCCUAUAUUAGUACAAAUGGUUUUAUAUCAAGAUAUAGUAGUUUAUCAUUCAGUAUAAUAUAGUGUGCUUAAGACCUAACUAAAUUCCUCCACCUCUUGGACCUUUUCUGAAAAAUUUACUGGAUACCCAAUAUAUUUAAUAUUCAAUAGCAUGUGAGAAUAAUUUUUAUGCAACUCUGAUAGUUAGAAAGAUAGAUAACUCAAUUAUUAGAUCAUCUAUCAAAAUAUUCAGAUGUAUAAGAGGCUACUAAAAAGAUUGAUGACUGAGAAAGUCCACUGAUUCUCCAGCCAUCAUAUUCACACAUUUGGCUAGACAACAUUUUUCGCUGCCUUCACGAGCAAGCUUCAUUACUCAUCACUUCACUGAAAAGAGUUUAUUAUGAGGCUGCCAUCUUGGCAAGACUAUUAUUUAGAUGAUAAAUGUUGGGGGAAAAAUUGUGUCUAGAGUUUUUUUUUUUAAGAUGAGCUUUUUGACAGAUAAAACAAACAGCAUCUACAUUUCUAAUUAACUUAAAUUUGGCAUAUACAAAUACAGGUCAGUAAAGUAUGAUAUGCUACUAGAUUAUCUUCUGCCUGAAUCUUGUCCUUAAUUUGUAAAAUGUAAAUUAACUAAUUAGAAGAAAAGCAGCAUUAUUUGUGACAAAAUACUCCUAUUUCUUUGCUUUGUGACAUUUAUGAUCAACUAUAGUUCUUCAUUCUAACUUCUUAGAGAUAGAUAAUAAUACUCACACUAAUUUAUUAUGUUUCUGUUAUUUUAAACCAAGUGAAAACUUGAGAUUUCCGAAAGGAUUAAAGCACAACAGAUUUUGCAACGUGGAGCUAAAUUAGAUGCCUGCCAGCUUAAUUUCCUUUUCACUAUUAUGCCUUUUCAUGUACGUGUAGCAUGAACAUAGGUAUGAAGAUAGCACUUUCACUAUUCAAGCACCAGACUCAAAAGGAAAAGUUAAUAUGUUACUAGAAAUCCCUAUAUCCUUUCCGUGCAAGAUGUAGAGUAAUAAUAAUAAAUUUGUGCUUUGUUUGC
rnacentral:lncRNA from 7 species